rnacentral:rRNA from 1 species
AUUGAACGCUGGCGGAAUGCUUUACAUAUGCAAGUCGAACGGUAGAGGGGGCAACCCCUCGAGAGUGGCGAACGGGUGAGUAAUAUAUCGGAACGUGCCCAGUCGUGGGGGAUAACGUAGCGAAAGUUACGCUAAUACCGCAUACGAUCUAAGGAUGAAAGCGGGGGAUCGCAAGACCUCGCGCGAUUGGAGCGGCCGAUAUCAGAUUAGGUAGUUGGUGGGGUAAAGGCUCACCAAGCCAACGAUCUGUAGCUGGUCUGAGAGGACGACCAGCCACACUGGAACUGAGACACGGUCCAGACUCCUACGGGAGGCAGCAGUGGGGAAUUUUGGACAAUGGACGCAAGUCUGAUCCAGCCAUUCCGCGUGCAGGAUGAAGGCCCUCGGGUUGUAAACUGCUUUUGUACGGAACGAAAAGGUCUCUCUUAAUACGGGGGACUCAUGACGGUACCGUAAGAAUAAGCACCGGCUAACUCCGUGCCAGCCGCCGCGGUAA